AAGCAGAGGAUUCUGAGAUUCUAAGGAAUGGUAAGACAGAAGACAGAAGGAGCCUGGAUCUCUGAAUCAAGCAUAUAAAGGAAAGGCUCUACAACAAAAAUCAACUUGAGAUGGGUUGAGAAAUACGUGUUUAUUCUGGCACUUCUGACCAUUUGUGCAACUAAUCUGGGACAAAUUGCCAAAUAAAUUUUACAUUAUUUCUUCAGGA